rnacentral:rRNA from 1 species
GUGCUGUGAGCUCGAUGAGUAGGGCGGGACACGUGGUAUCCUGUCUGAAUAUGGGGGGACCAUCCUCCAAGGCUAAAUACUCCUGACUGACCGAUAGUGAACCAGUACCGUGAGGGAAAGGCGAAAAGAACCCCGGCGAGGGGAGUGAAAAAGAACCUGAAACCGUGUACGUACAAGCAGUGGGAGCCCCACCACUAAGCCAGUGGUGAACUCCACAUACGCAUCCUUUGCUGAGGAUACGGUUAACGGAGCGAAAGCGACGUUCAACCUCAAAAGAAGCAGAGGGGGCUUAGUGGUGGGGUGACUGCGUACCUUUUGUAUAAUGGGUCAGCGACUUAUAUUCUGUAGCAAGGUUAACCGUAUAGGGGAGCCGCAGGGAAACCGAGUCUUAACCGGGCGUUAAGUUGCAGGGUAUAGACCCGAAACCCGGUGAUCUAGCCAUGGGCAGGUUGAAGGUUGGGUAACACUAACUGGAGGACCGAACCGACUAAUGUUGAAAAAUUAGCGGAUGACCUGUGGCUGGGGGUGAAAGGCCAAUCAAACCGGGAGAUAGCUGGUUCUCCCCGAAAGCUAUUUAGGUAGCGCCUCGUGAACUCAUCUCCGGGGGUAGAGCACUGUUUCGGCUAGGGGGCCAUCCCGGCUUACCAACCCGAUGCAAACUGCGAAUACCGGAGAAUGUUAUCACGGGAGACACACGGCGGGUGCUAACGUCCGUCGUGAAGAGGGAAACAACCCAGACCGCCAGCUAAGGUCCCAAAGUCAUGGUUAAGUGGGAAACGAUGUGGGAAGGCCCAGACAGCCAGGAUGUUGGCUUAGAAGCAGCCAUCAUUUAAAGAAAGCGUAAUAGCUCACUGGUCGAGUCGGCCUGCGCGGAAGAUGUAACGGGGCUAAACCAUGCACCGAAGCUGCGGCAGCGACGCUUAUGCGUUGUUGGGUAGGGGAGCGUUCUGUAAGCCUG